UUAAGCGACUAAGCGUACACGGUGGAUGCCCUGGCAGUCAGAGGCGAUGAAGGGCGUGCUAAUCUGCGAUAAGCGCCGGUAAGGUGAUAUGAACCGUUAUAACCGGCGAUACCCGAAUGGGGAAACCCAGUGUGACUCGUCACACUAUCAUUAACUGAAUCCAUAGGUUAAUGAGGCGAACCGGGGGAACUGAAACAUCUAAGUACCCCGAGGAAAAGAAAUCAACCGAGAUUCCCCCAGUAGCGGCGAGCGAACGGGGAGGAGCCCAGAGCCUGAAUCAGCAUGUGUGUUAGUGGAAGCGUCUGGAAAGGCGCGCGAUACAGGGUGACAGCCCCGUACACAAAAGCGCAUGUGCUGUGAGCUCGAUGAGUAGGGCGGGACACGUGGUAUCCUGUCUGAAUAUGGGGGGACCAUCCUCCAAGGCUAAAUACUCCUGACUGACCGAUAGUGAACCAGUACCGUGAGGGAAAGGCGAAAAGAACCCCGGCGAGGGGAGUGAAAAAGAACCUGAAACCGUGUACGUACAAGCAGUGGGAGCACAGGUUUACCUGUGUGACUGCGUACCUUUUGUAUAAUGGGUCAGCGACUUAUAUUCUGUAGCAAGGUUAACCGAAUAGGGGAGCCGGAGGGAAACCGAGUCUUAAUUGGGCGUUAAGUUGCAGGGUAUAGACCCGAAACCCGGUGAUCUAGCCAUGGGCAGGUUGAAGGUUGGGUAACACUAACUGGAGGACCGAACCGACUAAUGUUGAAAAAUUAGCGGAUGACCUGUGGCUGGGGGUGAAAGGCCAAUCAAACCGGGAGAUAGCUGGUUCUCCCCGAAAGCUAUUUAGGUAGCGCCUCGUGAAUUCAUCUCCGGGGGUAGAGCACUGUUUCGGCUAGGGGGCCAUCCCGGCUUACCAACCCGAUGCAAACUGCGAAUACCGGAGAAUGUUAUCACGGGAGACACACGGCGGGUGCUAACGUCCGUCGUGAAGAGGGAAACAACCCAGACCGCCAGCUAAGGUCCCAAAGUCAUGGUUAAGUGGGAAACGAUGUGGGAAGGCCCAGACAGCCAGGAUGUUGGCUUAGAAGCAGCCAUCAUUUAAAGAAAGCGUAAUAGCUCACUGGUCGAGUCGGCCUGCGCGGAAGAUGUAACGGGGCUAAACCAUGCACCGAAGCUGCGGCAGCGACGCUUAUGCGUUGUUGGGUAGGGGAGCGUUCUGUAAGCCUGCGAAGGUGGCCUGUGAGGGUUGCUGGAGGUAUCAGAAGUGCGAAUGCUGACAUAAGUAACGAUAAAGCGGGUGAAAAGCCCGCUCGCCGGAAGACCAAGGGUUCCUGUCCAACGUUAAUCGGGGCAGGGUGAGUCGACCCCUAAGGCGAGGCCGAAAGGCGUAGUCGAUGGGAAACGGGUUAAUAUUCCCGUACUUGGUGUUACUGCGAAGGGGGGACGGAGAAGGCUAUGUUGGCCGGGCGACGGUUGUCCCGGUUUAAGCGUGUAGGUGUGUGUUCCAGGUAAAUCCGGUUCACUUUAACACUGAGGCGUGAUGACGAGGCACUACGGUGCUGAAGUAACAAAUGCCCUGCUUCCAGGAAAAGCCUCUAAGCAUCAGGUAACAUCAAAUCGUACCCCAAACCGACACAGGUGGUCAGGUAGAGAAUACCAAGGCGCUUGAGAGAACUCGGGUGAAGGAACUAGGCAAAAUGGUGCCGUAACUUCGGGAGAAGGCACGCUGACACGUAGGUGAAGUGAUUUACUCACGGAGCUGAAGUCAGUCGAAGAUACCAGCUGGCUGCAACUGUUUAUUAAAAACACAGCACUGUGCAAACACGAAAGUGGACGUAUACGGUGUGACGCCUGCCCGGUGCCGGAAGGUUAAUUGAUGGGGUCAGCGCAAGCGAAGCUCCUGAUCGAAGCCCCGGUAAACGGCGGCCGUAACUAUAACGGUCCUAAGGUAGCGAAAUUCCUUGUCGGGUAAGUUCCGACCUGCACGAAUGGCGUAAUGAUGGCCAGGCUGUCUCCACCCGAGACUCAGUGAAAUUGAACUCGCUGUGAAGAUGCAGUGUACCCGCGGCAAGACGGAAAGACCCCGUGAACCUUUACUAUAGCUUGACACUGAACAUUGAGCCUUGAUGUGUAGGAUAGGUGGGAGGCUUUGAAGUGUGGACGCCAGUCUGCAUGGAGCCGACCUUGAAAUACCACCCUUUAAUGUUUGAUGUUCUAACGUGGACCCGUUACCCGGGUUGCGGACAGUGUCUGGUGGGUAGUUUGACUGGGGCGGUCUCCUCCUAAAGAGUAACGGAGGAGCACGAAGGUUGGCUAAUCCUGGUCGGACAUCAGGAGGUUAGUGCAAUGGCAUAAGCCAGCUUGACUGCGAGCGUGACGGCGCGAGCAGGUGCGAAAGCAGGUCAUAGUGAUCCGGUGGUUCUGAAUGGAAGGGCCAUCGCUCAACGGAUAAAAGGUACUCCGGGGAUAACAGGCUGAUACCGCCCAAGAGUUCAUAUCGACGGCGGUGUUUGGCACCUCGAUGUCGGCUCAUCACAUCCUGGGGCUGAAGUAGGUCCCAAGGGUAUGGCUGUUCGCCAUUUAAAGUGGUACGCGAGCUGGGUUUAGAACGUCGUGAGACAGUUCGGUCCCUAUCUGCCGUGGGCGCUGGAGAACUGAGGGGGGCUGCUCCUAGUACGAGAGGACCGGAGUGGACGCAUCACUGGUGUUCGGGUUGUCAUGCCAAUGGCACUGCCCGGUAGCUAAAUGCGGAAGAGAUAAGUGCUGAAAGCAUCUAAGCACGAAACUUGCCCCGAGAUGAGUUCUCCCUGAGACUUAAAGUCUCCUGAAGGAACGUUGAAGACGACGACGUUGAUAGGCCGGGUGUGUAAGCGCAGCGAUGCGUUGAGCUAACCGGUACUAAUGAACCGUGAGGCUUAACCUU
rnacentral:rRNA from 1 species